rnacentral:rRNA from 1 species
UACAGAGGUCUCAAGCGUUUGUUCGGAUUCAUUGGGCGUAAAGGGUGUGUAGGUGGCGCGCUAAGUCGGGUGUGAAAUUUCGGAGCUUAACUCCGAAACUGCAUUCGAUACUGGCGUGCUUGAGGACUGGAGAGGAGACUGGAAUUUACGGUGUAGCAGUGAAAUGCGUAGAUAUCGUAAGGAAGACCAGUGGCGAAGGCGGGUCUCUGGGACAGUUCCUGACACUGAGACACGAAGGCCAGGGGAGCAAACGGG